UACGGGGGGGGCAAGCGUUGUUCGGAAUUACUGGGCGUAAAGGGCUCGUAGGUGGCCAACUAAGUCAGACGUGAAAUCCCUCGGCUUAACCGGGGAACUGCGUCUGAUACUGGAUGGCUUGAGGUUGGGAGAGGGAUGCGGAAUUCCAGGUGUAGCGGUGAAAUGCGUAGAUAUCUGGAGGAACACCGGUGGCGAAGGCGGCUUUCUGGACCGACACUGACGCUGAGGCGCGAAAGCUAGGGGAGCAAACGGG
rnacentral:rRNA from 1 species